UAUAUAAACAACCCGACAAGUAGAGUUCCUGAUAGAUUCUGGCAGUGAUGGAUAUGGCACAUGGGUUGAAAAUAUUCUAGGCGAUGGAAAUGCAGACAGGUCAGGAACUUGGUUGUUUGCAUAAAGCCUAUACUCAAAGAAAGGCACGAGAUCAUGAGGGUUGAAAGAAUUCAAGGGGCUUUCUGGGGUUUGAUAUUUUUCACGGUUCAUGAUGGAAAAUACCAAGGCUUUCAACCAUGUCGUACCUGAUUUAGGCAUGGAGACAAGUAUAGUGUCAGUGUUGCAUGAUUGAAAGUUAUUUUGGAAUGAAACUACAGCAUGAAUCUCCUUCGGAGGGCACCAAAAGCCUUGGAAAAGAUACAUAUAACAAGAUAUCCAGUCUUUCUCUUUGGGAAGUGAUGAUAGUAAAUCACGGCAUUGAUCACUCUCUCCGGUUUCUGAAACAGUACUGUUUCUUUGAGUAAUUUGAAUGUCUUCCAUGGAAGUUGUUCUUAUCUACCUUGAGUUCAGAGUUUAGCUACCUUUAAAGGUGUUCCUGAUUAAAAUAUAUAUAUGUGUGUGUGUCUGCAAGGAUCAGAACCCCCAUUCCCUGUCUCUAGCUGCUUUCAAAUCCCAAAAAAAAAUAUCUGACGCCCCUCCUCUUGCUGCUUGAGCCAGUGAUCUUUUAUGUACGCAAGAGACAAAUAACAAGCAGACCGAUCAAUUUUUUUUUUGGUAUACUAGAAGAAAAAUAAAAGCAAAGACACGAACAAAAUUUAUCAACAUCUUAUCUGCCAAAUUAACAUCUUAUCUGUCAAAUUGCAAUAGCAGUCCGAUCAAUUUUAAAUCAUUUUAGGCUCCGCUUGCCAAAAAACUCGGUUCGAAAUAAUUAUUUUAAGAUUGACACAACAAUUACAGCCUUAAAUUAAGCUAUUGCUUUUAUAUAAUAAGUUGUCGGUCUAGUAAAAAUAGCCAUUGGCAAUUUCACUAGUCUCCAAAUCUAAGCAUGGGGUCAAGGGUAGGAUUCAGGGAUCCCCAUCCUUGGAUGCGCUCCUCAAAGUUUGGUAAAAAAGAAUCCGAAGUCGGCCAUCUCAGAUAAGCCAUCCCUGAACACAGAGCCGCCACCUAUCUCCUAAUUUCUUCGCCAUCUUAUUGAUCUCAGAUAAGACAUCCCUAAACACAAAGCCGCCACCUAUCUCCUAAUUUCUUCAAAAUCAAAGGCAAAUAGAAGGUGAUGGGUCUCCAACAUGAGGGCAUCAACUCAAGGGGAGUGGGCUAAAAAGCAAACUCACUCCCACACCUUGAUGUGUUCAGUUAGGGUUUGCCUGAUCGAGCCUACCAUUCACAUUGCAUGGGCUCGGGUUAUGCCUGGAUGACCCAACUCUAUUUUAAAUUUUGGAUGAUUUUAUAUUUAGUGCUAACAUGAUUUAUUAUCGCAUAGGACACAAAAUAUUGUUAAAGCAUAUUUAUGUCAGAGUUAUAGUUUUACAAGGUGAUAAUCUGGACAUCCAUAAUAAGAACAAUGAUUAAUUAUGCUGCAUAAUCAUGUAACAAGCAGAUUCACAUUAUAUAUAUAUAAACGCUCAUCAGUCAUUAGGUUAAGAAACAAACUCUAAGCUCAACUAACUCACAAAAAGAAAGCUCAUAUUUUUUUCUUUAACCUCUCAUCAUUUCUUGCAUUAUCUCUUCAAACACACACAUCACCAUAAAGAUUUCACUCUGUUUAUAUAAAUGCUAACUUAAGUAUUAAAGAAUCUCCUAAACCAUCAAGAAGUUUGUUUUGCAAGUGCUCAUAAGGUUAAAGUUCAAUAGUUACCUUCAAUGACUCAAUCUUGAAAUCCCAUCAACCUACAAUUGAAAGGCUCAAAAUAUCCUUUAAAGUUUCCUUAAACUUCAUCGACAAGCCUUGAGCUAAAAUAAGCUUCCUGUUUGAGUGGAGCUCAUAUCAAUCAGAUUAAAUUCAUUAGCUAACUUUAAAACAAUUUAUUUUAAAAUACACAAGAUUUUGAGAAACUUGUAUAAAUUUGGAAAAAUAAGCUAAUUUUAUGUUACUAGCAUUUUUAAAUUUGUCUUUAAUUUUAUUAUUAUGCACUAAUUUUCUUGAUUUUCUAUGAUUAUUCAUCCUUAACAUAGUAGAUAAAUGAAAGUUUAAGCUAAGCUCACUAAUCAAUUUAAACAAGCCAAACUUAAAAGAGAAGCCUAGUUUCAACAAAAAGAGUACUUUGAUCAUCAAGCCUUGCGCUCAUUACAAAGCCAAACAGAGCUUCGACAUUACCCAAAUUAUUAAAUGAUCAUAUUGAUAUCUUGCUAAAAUAUAGCCUCUCUCUCCUCUAGUCCAAAUCGGAUCUUGUAAAAAAUCUGGCAAAACAUUUUUUAAAACGUUGCAUGUUUUGUCUUAUGUACAUCCAUCGUCAUGCACUUAUAUAUUAAUCAUUUGGAGACGAGUAUUAUUAAUUUUCUACUAAAAAACUUCUAGCAGGGUCCAGUAGAAAUUAUCCCAAACAUUUUAUACCAUCAAACUUUAGUGUAAAUCUUUAUAAGUUUUAAACUUAAAUAAUUUUUAUUAUAUGUUAAAAAAUAAUAUAAAUUAUAUAUUAAAAUAUUAUUUAAAAAUUUAAAUUUUUAGUUUGAAAUAAUUAUUUGAAAAGUUGUACGUAACUUCAGUUCAAUUUAAAAGGUUUUUUUUUUUUUUUUUUUAGAGUAGUUGUUUAACUAGUUUUUUAAAAAUUUGUUGGCUUGGAUUAGAUUACUUUGAUCUUAUGAUUUCUAUAUAUAUAUUUAGAAUCUUAAUAUUAAAUAAAAGAAGGGAGGUUGAAAAUUGUGUGUAUUAUAGUUUCCAACGAUAUAUAGAUGAUAGAAGAACAAAGCACAACAAUAUAAUUCAGUAGAACAGAAAAGUUUAUUACAGCUUCCCGUAGACAACAAUCAUGUUUAUUUUUUUGGCUUAACAAACAAAAAUGUAGGAAUCAUCAUGCGUUGUUGUCAAAGCACUCAAGCUGGAAAAAACAAUUAAGAAAAACAACUCAAACAUAGAUAUCGAGGUCUUUGUGGACUCCAGCUAGCUUCGACUAUAGACUAGUAAUCUUGAACUCCAAUCCAGAACCAGCCAACUUUUGUUCUGUGAUCUUGUUUAAACGAUCAACCAUCUCAGGAGUAAGAUAAUUGAUCCAGUCCCCAACCUCACCUCUUCUAAAUAAAGUAUUAUUCUCGAAGUAUGGGAUAGACUUACCUCUCUUGUUUGCCUCGAUAUCCUUCAAACUAUCGAGGCUGCACAGCUUGGAUAUGUCUUCUAUAACCCCAUCCCUCUCUUCCUCCAAAGAAAAGGGACAACCCAAGAACACAGCCAGACUUUUCAUCUGAGAAUUGAUAUCUUCUUUUAAGUCCUCAAACUUAAGAAACAAUACCUUCUCUGGUCUCUCCAAGCUCUCCUUCCAAUACCCUAGAACAUGAUCAAAAAAGGGACCAAACCCUACGACCCCAUUGCAAAAACUAUCAAAAGCCUCCUCCAAAAGAAGUGGUCCACGUCUCUCAGGUCUUGCUUUUGAGAGGAAAUGCCAGAAGGAGAUAAAGUUGUCCAAGGGAUUUCUACAUAUAUAAACAACCCGACAAGUAGAGUUCCUGAUAGAUUCUGGCAGUGAUGGAUAUGGCACAUGGGUUGAAAAUAUUCUAGGCGAUGGAAAUGCAGACAGGUCAGGAACUUGGUUGUUUGCAUAAAGCCUAUACUCAAAGAAAGGCACGAGAUCAUGAGGGUUGAAAGAAUUCAAGGGGCUUUCUGCGGUUUGAUAUUUU
rnacentral:lncRNA from 1 species